rnacentral:sRNA from 1 species
GCAAGAGAGAAACGGGUCCACAGAGAACCCCCUCUCUUCGGCGUUUCGGGGAGGAAACGCCCGCCUAGAUCGAAUGAUCGAGAAAUAGCCAGACCCGCUGCGUUUAUCCCCCGCAGCGGGUCUUGGUGUAUCUGGG